rnacentral:lncRNA from 1 species
UUUCUGUCUUUUCAGCCCCAAAUAUAUCACUCAUUGCUUUACUCAAAUUUCCACUCCAUUGAAACACAAUGCAUCAAACCUCUAACCUAUAGUAACUAACCAACUGAAAAGGGAGGUGAGAAUAAAAAUUGAGAUCACAAUUUGAAAAUGGGACAAGCAAAGAAUACACAAAAUCUGAAAUGAUCCUACAAAAUAUUGGGGAGUUGAGAAUCUAAUCUCUGUUGCAAUUCCUUGAUCUUCAAAGAAAGUUCUGUCUUCUGCUCCUUAUAGCUUUGCAACAAAUAUUCUUUUCCUUCUAUCACAUCCUUUAAGUCUCCUACCUCUUUUUUCAACAUCUCAAUUCUCUCCCCAU